UUAUUUAUUAUUUUAUACCAAUUAUUUAUUCUUAUAUUUAUAAAAAUUAAAUUUAUAAUUAGUUAUUAAAAACUGAAAAGGAAUGUGAAUAAAUCAUUAAAAUAAGAUUAUACGUACCUUUAGCAUUAGGGAUUUUUAAAAAAAAUAAAAAUUUUUAUUUUCCCGAAAUAAUUUGAGCUAAAGUUAUAAUUUAAUUUAUAUUUCAAUAUAAAUAAAAUUUAACUUUAGAUGUGAAAUUCUUUUCAAAAAUUAUGAUAUCUGGUUUUUUUAAUAAACGUUAAGUAUUUCUAUAAGAAAAGUUAAUAUAUAAUUUUAUAGAAAAUUAAUUUUGGGAUAAGCUAAAAUUAUAAAUUUUAUUUAUAAAUAAAAAAAAAACAGAAAGAUUAAAAUUUUCUUUUUUAUUUUAAUAAAUAUAUUUAUUAAAAUAAAAAAAUAUUUUACAAAAUUUAUUAAAUUUAAUUAAAUUUUUAAAUAAAAAUGAAAAUAUUAGUAAAAGUCUAAUUUAAGUAUAUUUUUAAAAUCGAAAUUUUAAAGAAAAAUAAUUUUGAAGAAUUCAGCAAAAAAUUUUUUUAACUGUUUAAUAAAAACGAUUCAUUUAGAUUAAUUAUUAAAUGUAAUUUCUGCUCAAUGAAUUUUUUAAUUGCUGUAGUAUUUUGACUAUACAAAGGUAUUGUAAUAAGAUUUUAAUUGAAUGCUAAAAGAAUGGAAGUUUAAAAAAAUUCUUUUUUAAAAUUAAAAAUUGAAUUUUUUUUAAUUUGUGAAUAAACAAUUAUAAAAAUUAAAGACAAGAAGACCCUAAGAAUUUGAAGAUCAAAUAAAUAAAAAAUUUUUUAUUUAUUUGAUCUUGAUUGGGGCGAUCAAAAAAUAUUAAUAACUUUUUAAAUUAAAAUGAUCUAUUAAUAAUAAACUAAUGAAAUAAAUACUCUAGGGAUAACAGCGUAAUAAUUUUUGAUAGAUCUUAUAGACAAAAUAGUUUGCGACCUCGAUGUUGGAUUAGGAUUCUUAUUUAAUGAAGAUGUUAAAUAAAGAAGUUUGUUCAACUUUUAAAUUCCUACAUGAUCUGAGUUUAGACCGAUGAGAAUCAGGUUGGAUUCUAUCUUAAUAAUUAAUGUUAUUUUAGCUAGUACGAAAGGAAUUCUAAAAAUUAAUUAUUAAGAUAAUCAACUUUAUUUGCAUCAAUUUUUGGAAAAA
rnacentral:rRNA from 1 species